GUCUAUGGCCAUGCCACCCUGAAUAAGCCCAAUCCCAUCUGAACUCAGAAGCUAAGCAGGGUUGGGGCUGGUUAGUACGUGGGUGGGAGACCACCUAGGAAGACCAGGUGCUGUAGGCA
rfam:Pteropus alecto contig12992, whole genome shotgun sequence.